GGGGGUGCCGGGCUUCGCUAGGGAUUAUCUCUUAUACUGGCAUGCCGAGGCGGCUCCGGCCUCGUAAACAGUGGAGCAAACUUAUAAGUGCCAACUUAUUUUCCAAAGCAAAAGUUGCUCUAACUAACGCAUUCGGCGCUAGUUUCAACUUCGCUCCAUCAAUGGCUUAAUGCCGUUGGUCGUCAGCAGGAUGAGAUCUCGUAGUUCUUGUCUGGCGUAAAUCACGAGAAGUAGGCCCUAUUCUGACGCUGAUUGGAAUAUGACCGAACUCAAUUCAGCACCCUCUCUGCCUUUUGUUCCUUAGAACCCAGAGAGUACUAUAAAGGAAAUAAGCAUGUAGAAAGUUUAAGAAUAAAUCUUUAGACGCGAGUUCAACUCUCGCCACCUCCACCA
rnacentral:tmRNA from 1 species